rnacentral:rRNA from 1 species
UACGGAGGAUGCGAGCGUUAUCCGGAUUUAUUGGGUUUAAAGGGUGCGUAGGCGGGCUGUUAAGUCAGCGGUCAAAUGUCGGGGCUCAACCCCGGCCUGCCGUUGAAACUGGCGGCCUCGAGUGGGCGAGAAGUAUGCGGAAUGCGUGGUGUAGCGGUGAAAUGCAUAGAUAUCACGCAGAACCCCGAUUGCGAAGGCAGCCUGCCAAGCCAUGACUGACGCUGAUGCACGAAAGCGUGGGGAUCGAACAGG